GUGCUUGCUUCAACAGCACAAAUACUAACACUGGAAUGAAACAGAGAAGAUUAACAUGGACUCUGAGCAAAGAUUACAUGCAAAUUCAUGAAAUGUUCUGUCUUUCA
ensembl:snRNA U6 U6 spliceosomal RNA